CAAUGGUAGCGCGUCUGUCUUCGGAACAGAAGGUUGCGGGUUCGAGUCCCGCCGG
rnacentral:tRNA from 16 species